UUGUUUGAUUAAUAAAGUAGAAAUAUGUUUAAAUGAAAUGAAUUAAUCAUGUUUAUGUUUACUAAAUGAUUUGUUCUUGUUGGUUGUACAUGGUUUCAAAGAAAUUCAAACCAAUUAAAUUGAUUCAUGUGAGUCCAACAAGAAUGAGAUUAAUCAAAGCAAUAUGACUCCAGUGGUCAGCUACUGCGCAUGCUCCAUGCCCCAAGGUCUCCUGGGAAAUAACUGAAGAAUCGUCAGGUCCUUUCCCGCUCAGUCCUUUGUUAUCUUCGCUCUUACAAACAUUGAGUGCAAGUCAAUCUGUGUCUCUGUAUGAUCAUUUGUAUGCACCCUGUUUUUUAAAUGUGAGGUGUAUGUGGCAGUGCAGACAUUGUGACACAAGAGAGAGAACUAGGUACAAAUUACUUAAACAUUAUAAACUAUACCAUCAUUGUGGAAGAGGCCAACAUUAUCUGUGCAUAAAUGUUAGUUGUCCAUGCUCAUUCAAGACUUGGACUGGACUCAAAGCCCAUGUCUAUAAAUGUCAUCCAUAUCAGCUUGUAUCAACAGCUUCCAGUUCAGUAACUUUUAAAUGUGAGUUGUGUGAUCGCAGUGACAUCUCAACAGAAAGAGACUUUUUUGUUCAUAUUGGAACACAUCUGCGCAAUAUAGAAACAGUUAACUGUGUAUUUAAUGGUUGCUCUUUCAGGACAAAUGUCCAUAGUACAUUUUACACACACAAAAAGAGGAAGCAUCAUCCACACACACUAGGUGAUUUUAAAGCUAGUGUAGUUAGAUUUGUGGACCCAGUAAGAGUAUCAGAUACCUCUGACAAUGUGAGGGCUGGCAUUUCUGUUGUUGUGUCAGAUGAUGAAGUUGAGACCGAGUCAGUGACAGAAGGUGAUGAUGAUGAUGUUCAAAGUCUUCCAAAACUAAUUGAGCGAAAAAUAGCUGCAAUUUUGUUAAAAUUAGAAUAUAUAUUUCAUAUUCCAGCAAAAGGAGUG